rnacentral:rRNA from 1 species
AUGCCUAGCCGUAAAACAUUAACUUACACCACAAACCGCCCGGGAAUUACGAGCCCAAGCUUAAAACCCAAAGGACUUGACGGUGUCCCAUCCACCUAGAGGAGCCUGUUCUAUAAUCGAUUCUCCCCGAUACACCUCACCACUUCUAGCCCAACAGUCUGUAUACCUCCGUCGCAAGCUUACCAUGUGAACGAAACUAGUGAGCUUAAAGAUUUUUUCACCAACACGUCAGGUCGAGGUGCAGCUUACGAAGCGGAAAGAAAUGGGCUACAAUUUCUAAUCUAGAACAAACGAAAGACUACAUGAAAAACAGUCAUGAAGGCGGAUUUAGUAGUAAAAAGAAAAUAGAGUGUUCUUUUUAAUAAGGCCCUGGGACGCGUACACA